AUCCCAUUGUGCGUUUGGACAAAGUAAUGUAUUUAGAAUUAUGCAUUUUUCUCUCUUGACUUGCAACAAAAUAACAAACAGGUACAAAAUUAGCAAAGAAGGUAUGCAAAAGUCUGCGAAGUUCAAUACGAUUUAAACACUGCUUAAGGCAAACACUGUCCACUCCUGCAAUGUCUCAGAGAAGCUGAUGCAUCUUUUCUUCACGGUGGGUAUGAAAAAAAUUCCCAGAUCUAGAUAGAGGAGUCCCGAAGCGAUACAUUCCCUGUACCGCAAAAAGGGCCUGCACCUUUCUGACACAGCAAACCAGAACUGAAGCAAAACUAUGCUCGUCUCCUGCAAAGCAGCCUUCAGCGGGAGGGCCGCCCCGCCCCGCCCCGCCACUUACAGCCUCCUCCCAGCCGCCGGGCGCCGCGGUGGCAGCCCGGGCCUCCUCGGCGGCGACGCGCUCGCUGAGGCGGCGCAGGGCGCGCACGGGCCGCAGCUCGCCGCCGCCGCAGCAGCAGGGUGCCGCGGCGCCCCCCGGGCCGUGCCCCGAGGCGGGUCCCCGCUCGGCGGGGCUCAUGGCCGGCGCGGCGCCCCUCCGCCGCCAGGGACCGCGCGCCCCGCAUCGGCGCCCCGCGGCCGCUUCGGCGCCGCCGCCCUCCCGCUGCCGCGGUUACCGGGGCA